rnacentral:tRNA from 1 species
GCCUGGGUGGCUCAGUGGUUGAGUGUCUGCCUUUGGCUCAGGUCUUGAUCCCGGGGUCCUGGGAUCAAGUCCCACAUCAGGCU